GGCGAGGAUGGAAGGAGAAGCCUCCGUAACUCGACUGGUUAUCAAAACCAUACAUCCAACUAGACCGGCAUCCUUGGAAACGCCACCCCGCAGGAUGGUUGUGAAAAUCUUCCAAACCCGCCUUGAAGGAGACUCCGAGAGGUGCCACCGCGCGGCAGGAAAGGAUGCCAUGCUACAGAACCAUUCCAGCAGACUUCUAAGGUCAGUAUCACCCCAUUUACAGAUGAAACUCAGAAAGCCUCAGCAGCUCACGUGCCCCAGGUCUCAGAGAGACGGGGCAGAGCAAGGAUUGAAACCCAAGCCAGUCUGGCCAGAGGACCCACAUGCUUUCUUCCACUCAGCACGCCACCUCACCAUGACUGCCGGGCCACUGCCAGUCACCACAACCACUGUGUUUCCACCACCUACCCGCACUGCUGGGUCACCACCACUCACCGUGUCAGCUGGUCACCACUCCCCACUACCCCCAGGUCACUCUUCCCCACUACUGCCUACCAGUCACUACUGCCUUAUAAUCACGUUGACAGCCACUGGUGGAUUUUGA
rnacentral:lncRNA from 1 species